AUGAACGCUGGCGGCGUGCUUAACACAUGCAAGUCGAGCGAAGCGCUUAGGAAAGAUUCUUCGGAUGAUUUCCUAUUUGACUGAGCGGCGGACGGGUGAGUAACGCGUGGGUAACCUGCCUCAUACAGGGGGAUAACAGUUAGAAAUGACUGCUAAUACCGCAUAAGACCACAGCACCGCAUGGUGCAGGGGUAAAAACUCCGGUGGUAUGAGAUGGACCCGCGUCUGAUUAGUUAGUUGGUGGGGUAACGGCCUACCAAGGCGACGAUCAGUAGCCGACCUGAGAGGGUGACCGGCCACAUUGGGACUGAGACACGGCCCAAACUCCUACGGGAGGCAGCAGUGGGGAAUAUUGCACAAUGGGGGAAACCCUGAUGCAGCGACGCCGCGUGAGCGAAGAAGUAUUUCGGUAUGUAAAGCUCUAUCAGCAGGGAAGAAAAUGACGGUACCUGACUAAGAAGCCCCGGCUAACUACGUGCCAGCAGCCGCGGUAAUACGUAGGGGGCAAGCGUUAUCCGGAUUUACUGGGUGUAAAGGGAGCGUAGACGGAGCAGCAAGUCUGAUGUGAAAACCCGGGGCUCAACCCCGGGACUGCAUUGGAAACUGUUGAUCUGGAGUGCCGGAGAGGUAAGCGGAAUUCCUAGUGUAGCGGUGAAAUGCGUAGAUAUUAGGAGGAACACCAGUGGCGAAGGCGGCUUACUGGACGGUAACUGACGUUGAGGCUCGAAAGCGUGGGGAGCAAACAGGAUUAGAUACCCUGGUAGUCCACGCCGUAAACGAUGAGUGCUAAGUGUUGGAGGGUUUCCGCCCUUCAGUGCUGCAGCUAACGCAUUAAGCACUCCGCCUGGGGAGUACGACCGCAAGGUUGAAACUCAAAGGAAUUGACGGGGGCCCGCACAAGCGGAGGAACAUGUGGUUUAAUUCGAUGAUACGCGAGGAACCUUACCCGGGCUUGAAUUGCAACUGAAUGAUGUGGAGACAUGUCAGCCGCAAGGCAGUUGUGAAGGUGCUGCAUGGUUGUCGUCAGCUCGUGUCGUGAGAUGUUGGGUUAAGUCCCGCAACGAGCGCAACCCCUAUCUUCAGUAGCCAGCGGUAAGGCCGGGCACUCUGGAGAGACUGCCAGGGAUAACCUGGAGGAAGGUGGGGAUGACGUCAAAUCAUCAUGCCCCUUAUGAGCAGGGCUACACACGUGCUACAAUGGCGUAAACAAAGGGAAGCGAACCCGCGAGGGUGGGCAAAUCCCAAAAAUAACGUCUCAGUUCGGAUUGUAGUCUGCAACUCGACUACAUGAAGCUGGAAUCGCUAGUAAUCGCGAAUCAGAAUGUCGCGGUGAAUACGUUCCCGGGUCUUGUACACACCGCCCGUCACACCAUGGGAGUCAGUAACGCCCGAAGUCAGUGACCCAACCGUAAGGAGGGAGCUGCCGAAGGUGGGACCGAUAACUGGGGUG
rnacentral:rRNA from 1 species